AGGUUCUGAGUUAGCAAUGUGCCCCGGCUUCUAGUCGUCUCUUUGGGACCAACUGGACGAUUUGACCUCAAAUCAGGUAGGACACCCCGCUGAAAUUGACCUCAAUAAGCGGAGGAAAAGAAACUAA
rnacentral:rRNA from 1 species